CUAAAAAGAGGCCAAAUCAUUUGCAAGACUUGUAAAGAUGGUGUUUAUUGAUGCUGAAGAAUCGAGCCAUAAUUUAGCACUCACAUCCAGUUGACCUAGGCUGACCGGUAGUUCCAACAUCAAUGGUGUCUGGCAAGUAAAUCUCCUCCUCUUCCCCACUCUUCAGAGCGUUACUUGCUAUGCAUUGAAAAGCUUCUUCCACGUUAAUACCAUCUUUAGCAGAGGUCUCAAAGUAUGGGAUAUUCCC
rnacentral:misc_RNA from 1 species